rfam:Leptotrichia buccalis DSM 1135, complete genome.
AUAUAUGAUAGAGGUGCAAUUAUUAAAAGUAAAUUUACGGAGAAAAGUCAAUUCUGUGAAAUAAGUUGAAAGGAAUAAUUGCCGAAGCAUAAGGAUUGACUAUCUUUAUUGCUGGGGCUAUGGAAAAUAUCCAUAGGACUGUCAUUAUCAAUGGAUAAUGGGGAGCUGUCAGAUAU